AAGCUGGUUGUAGAGGUGGCAGCUGAUCAAGCCAUGGGCAGGCGGGAUCCACUGCCUGAGUUGUAACUAGAGACUCCCCCGCAGUGUGGGGCUUGGCGAUGGGGCCACAGGCAGCAGGCAGCACCAGGCAGCCAGGCAAGCAGACAGCUGUGGCGGGCUCUGUGAGGAAGGGCAGGCCGUCCUCCCAAGAGGAGGAGCAGGUUGGCUGCAGGGCGUGAGUUGCUAGCAAUGAUUAAUUUAUUCCUUACUGGAUUUGUCAGGUGUCAGGGCCUAGGCACUGGCUGGGUGGCUGGGGAGGUGCCGAGGAUGAGAGGCUGCAGCAGGGGGGCUGGGUGACAGGGCCUCUGGGUGAGGCCCCUGGCCUGGAUGAGAUAAGGGGGCACCAAGCAGGAUGUCUUAACAGGAAGAAAACUCCCAUCAUAGCAGCCCUUAAGUGCACACGAAUCACCAGGGAUCUCUUUAAAAUGCAGAUUCACAUACGGCAGACCCAGGGUAGGGCAGGAGAGUCUGCAUUUCUAAAAAGUUCCCAGGUGAUGCCGAUGCUGCUGUUCCACGCCACACUUUGGCAGCAAGAUGAGGGAAAAGGGGAUUAAUUGUCAGCAUUCAGGGGAAGCUCACGACAUUCAAUAGCAGGAACUGGAAACCUGCAAGCUGUCAGCAGUGACAGCUUCUCUCUCUGGAGCCACAUGGUCUCUUGUCUGCACAUCUGCUCUCUUCUCCUCUCUAGCCUGGCUUCCUCUGCAAGCCUUUGUAACUUGGCUCGCCCUUGGCUGUCUUUACCACUGCCAGGACCCUGACCCCAACCUUAUGGCUCCAGCUCCUAACUCUGUCAGGCUAUAGUUUUUCUGGUCUCUUCUGACUUUUUUCUCUCUCAAGAUUCUGAUUGGCUCGGCUGGUCAGGUGUCCAUACUUGGUCCAAGAAGCUGUGCUAAGGGGCCAACAAGUAGGGCUGCUCAGGUGCUUUCAAUGGCGUCAUGGAACGCCCCCCCCCCCCCCCCCCCCCAUGGGUAGCCUCAGUCAGAUGGAUGGAGAGAAAUGCAGCCUUGAGGAACUGUUUUAAACACGUGUGAUCAGAAACUCUAGAAAAAAAGAAUUUCAGCAUAUAUUUUGGCUACUUUCCAAAAUGUGAGUUUAUUUGGAAUUAUUUCUAGAACUAGGUGGGUGGGCACCAAAAUCUUUUUCUUGUUUAAAGCCCUGGAAGGAGCGAGGGUUUGACAGGAGCCCCAAACAUGCCUCCAAGAGAAGAGGCCAGGGGGAGUGUCGCGAUGAAGGCCCUGUGGCUUGAGACAAAUGAGAAGAGAGGGAGAGAGCUGAGACGCGGGCUGUUCGCUUGGUGGUUCCUCAGUCGCCAGGGCAGCCUGACUGUGAAGGAGCUGCUGCAGCUCGCGGGAGCCCAGGAACAGUGACCCCGCCCUCGGAUCCCAGGUGCACGAGGCUGGCUGAGAUUUCAACGACAGUAGUCAGGUCUGCACAUGGGGAAAGGUCACGGCUCAUAAUAGCUUGGAUUGUUCAACCUAGACAUGUGCGGAUUAGGAAACAAGACGCAGAGAGACUCCGACCCGCUCAAGGUGAAAGUUCCACUUGGUGGCUGAGCCAGCCAAGGAUGCCUGCGUCCUGACAUCCAGCCCUGAGCUCUUCUGAAGAUGAGGGGACUCUUAAGAAUACACAAUACUUCCAGGCUUUUUGUUCCGACAGAAGUAAGUUUGCAAAGCAGUUGCGGAGGACUCUCUGAAGAAGGGCAAACAGUCCCCGAGGGGGUGGAGCUGCUGGCUCCAGGAGCUCUGUUGCCAGCAAGUAUUAAUUCACUCCGGCUGGCGCUGUCUUGGGGGCCUCCCGCGCACAAUAGCAUUAAGAGUGUUGGCAGCUGCGGAGGGAGAAGGCCCGCUCCACCUGGGAAUGAGGAAGAUGUGACUCCUCGCAAGGUUGCUCUCCUCCCAGCUCCCGCUCUUGGGAGAGAUGAUCAGUGCUUACGGGCCUGGGAGCAGGCUGCUGAGGACACAGUGUUCCCGGGGAUGGUGGCAGAUCUUGGAGAAGGGACAGAAGCUGGGCCAAGAGACUGGAACUUAUGCAAAUCAGGCCUGAGGAUGGUUCAAGGAGGGGGCAGCCCCUGCCUUAUGCCUCCCCGUCAGCAUACCCAGAACCAGACUCCUCAGGAGGAACAUCUUUUGUCUUCAAUGCUAAGCUUGUUCACGAGGAUGUGUGAUGUGGAUAAUAACACGUACCUCGUUAAUUAAAUGAGCAAUUACACACAAAAAACUUAAAAAGUUGCAGAGAAUGUGGGAAGGCCUCCAUCAAUUAUCAUUUUUCUCCAUGGAGCUCCAUUGAGAGACAUAAUGCACUGUAAAGUGCUUGGCUUUGGAGAAAGACAGAGCUGGGUUCCAAGUCCUGCCUCUGCCGUUGCCCUGCUGCAUAACUUUGGGCAAGAUGCUUAGCUUCUCAAUGCCCAAUUUUCUCAUCAACAAAAUGGAGCCACUGAUAUUUACAGCAUUAUCCCAAGGCAUAGAAAUGAUGCAUCCGAAGACCCUGACCCAUGGCGCUGGGAAAAUAGGUUUGGAGUUUGAUGAGCUGCCUGCUGCUGGCUCCUCUGUUUUCUGGCAUCAAGGUUCCUCAAUAGUGGACUCAACAGUUGCAUUUUUCACCUACAAAAGAAUUGCUAUCAGAAAACCAGACAGCGGAUAAUUGUAUUUUGUGAAUUGACAGUGAAGCCACUCGGUUUCAGCCCAGGUCCAAAGGCUGAGGAUGUUCACCCAGGAGAAAUGGCAGAAGGUUCAGAAUCCCUAACAGCUCUGGCGACCCCUGCUGUGUCAGUGUGAAUGCAAGAUGCCCAGUAAGACUGGAGGCUCCAGCUUCAACCAGAGCCUCAUCCAUCUCUUCAAACCUACCAGGGAAGGAAAUAAAAAUAUGUGCCCAUAAAUUUCCUCCUUGACGGGCAGCAAAUGCGCUGGCCUCCUGCCACCUGACAGUGAAACGUGAAGCUGGGGAGUGUCUCCCUGCAAGCGCACCUAGGGCUGCUCCUGCCCCCUUCUGGAGCAGGAUCAAAAUGCUUCCCAAGAAGUGCGCCAGCUGCCCUUGUGGGCCAGGCCCAGCCAUCCAAAGCUGCCGAAGAGCAACUUGGCUUCCUUUCCCUUCUCCCACUUGGACCACCAGGAUGCCUCUGCAGUUUUUUGGACUCCUGUUUUGACCAGUUAUCCCAAUUAACUUGAGCAAGAUAGAAGGAGAGACCUAUACCCCCCUCUUUGUCCGAGAAAAAAUGCACCAAGGGAGAGAGAAUGAAGACAAGCCUAUGAAUCUGUUCCCUGCACACAUCGAACUCAUUCCUAUCUCUGCGCAUGCUGUUCAACCCACUGGGAACACGCUUUCUUCUCCCAUCAGCACCCAUUUACCUAAAUUUUAUUCAUUCUUCAAGACUCCUUAAAUCCCGUCUGCUUCAUGAAGAUUUUUUAUCUGUGAGUUCACUCCCUCC
ensembl:lncRNA